rnacentral:rRNA from 1 species
AGCUUGCUCCCAUUUCUCAGCGGCGGACGGGUGAGUAACACGUGGGCAACCUGCCCUACAGACUGGGAUAACUCCGGGAAACCGGAGCUAAUACCGGGUAAUACAUAGCAUCGCAUGAUGCAACGUUGAAAGUUGGCCUUUGGCUAACACUGUAGGAUGGGCCCGCGGCGCAUUAGCUAGUUGGUAAGGUAACGGCUUACCAAGGCCACGAUGCGUAGCCGACCUGAGAGGGUGAUCGGCCACACUGGGACUGAGACACGGCCCAGACUCCUACGGGAGGCAGCAGUAGGGAAUCUUCCGCAAUGGACGAAAGUCUGACGGAGCAACGCCGCGUGAGUGACGAAGGCCUUCGGGUCGUAAAGCUCUGUUGUUAGGGAAGAACAAGUACCGUUCGAAUAGGGCGGUACCUUGACGGUACCUAACCAGAAAGCCACGGCUAACUACGUGCCAGCAGCCGCGGUAAUACGUAGGUGGCAAGCGUUGUCCGGAAUUAUUGGGCGUAAAGCGCGCGCAGGCGGUCUCUUAAGUCUGAUGUGAAAGCCCACGGCUCAACCGUGGAGGGCCAUUGGAAACUGGGGGACUUGAGUGCAGAAGAGGAGAGUGGAAUUCCACGUGUAGCGGUGAAAUGCGUAGAUAUGUGGAGGAACACCAGUGGCGAAGGCGGCUCUCUGGUCUGUAACUGACGCUGAGGCGCGAAAGCGUGGGGAGCGAACAGGAUUAGAUACCCUGGUAGUCCACGCCGUAAACGAUGAGUGCUAGUG